GACGAACGCUGGCGGCGUGCUUAACACAUGCAAGUCGAACGAAGUGGCGAACGGGUGAGUAACGCGUAAUCAAACUGCCCUUCAGAGGGGGACAACAGUUGGAAACGACUGCUAAUACCGCAUAAUGACGGAGGGGAUUGCGUCGGAUUAGCAUGUUGGAGGGUUAACGGCCCACCAAGCCGAUGAUCAGUAGCCGGUCUGAGAGGAUGAACGGCCACAUUGGGACUGAGAGACGGCCCAGACUCCUACGGGAGGCAGCAGUGGGGAAUCUUCCGCAAUGGACGAAAGUCUGACGGAGCAACGCCGCGUGAGUGAUGACGGCCUUCGGGUUGUAAAGCUCUGUUAAUCGGGACGCGGUACCGGAAUAGAAAGCCACGGCUAACUACGUGCCAGCAGCCGCGGUAAUUC
rnacentral:rRNA from 1 species